rnacentral:lncRNA from 1 species
UUUUUUUUUUUUUUUUUGGUAGCCAAACACUUAAGUUGCUGAUAGUUGCCUUUGAAGGCCUAAACCUCCUUAAAUUUACUAAAUCUGUGGCAGAACAAAAAUGCUUCACAUCACCAAACUCACAUUAUCUAACAUCUCUUAGAACUUACUAAUUGGGAGAGACUGAACGUCACUGCAGAUUAAUGCACCUCCUUUCAGUAUGAGCACCUGAGUUGAAUCUAAUCUGCACAAAAGUGACUAAAAAUCAAUCUAAUCUGACAGUGCUGAAAUUAUUAUGUAUAAUUAUAUGCAUUCUUAAAUCCUUAGCUGGAGAUGAAGCACUUCAAGAGAGGAAUUUAGAUAUUUUUAGGGUUUGUUUUUGUUCUUUUUUUUUUCUUUUUUAAUAAAAAAAUAUGCAGAUAACAUUUUCAAUCAUAAAAGAUGAAAGGUGAUCAAGACAAUAUCUUCUGUUCAUAUCAGCCCUCAGUAUUUGCUACAGGAAACAACACAUUCCCAUGCCAGAAGUGUGCUGGAGGAAGGAAGGAAUUGGGGGAAGGGAAAAACCUUGAAAAGCACUCAGAUGCAUCAUUCUUAAUUACCUGAAAAUAUGCAUUACAUUUUUAAUGAUGGGCUCUUUUCCAUUAAAGGGGCAGAGAUCUUAGCUUGCUCAUAUAAUGACACAAUCAGCAACAUUACUGGUUUGCAAAGGCCUGUAUAUAUCCACCUAAUACAGACAAGUAAACUCAGCCUUUUUACCAAAUCCAGAGCAAUGGACAUGACCAGUACAACCCUGAUUUGAAGCUUCUUUUCCUUUUUCCUCCCUCAGUUUGCUGAGUGAUAUUCAACUACAAAUUAGAAAAUAUAAAAGACAAUACAUCUAUUUUGUCAAUAAUGUCAGUAAUAACACAACACCAAACAAUACUGAGAAAAAAAAGUUUGUUUCAAUAGGCAUGAUUAGUGUUGAAAAGAUUUAAAUUGUUUUGCAAAAUUUUUAUUGUACAACAUGACAUAGUCAACAGCACUCAGUUAACAAUGAUUUUCAUCAAAAUAUUUCUUCAAAUAGUAAAAUCCAUCCAUUUAUAAUGCCAGUAUUAAAAAAAUCAAGACAGAAAUUUUUAAAUCAUUGCAUUCUGAGCAUUAAAAAGCACAGAAAGGCCAUGUGUCAGAACUUGGAACAAGACAGUGUGACUAAACCAACAAAUUUGCAUUUGGUGAGUAGAAUAGUUUCUCAUGUCUAAGAAAAUCAUAUUGUUUGCUAGUACUGUCUUAGUUUUAUUCCCAAAGGCACAUGGUCAGUGGAAAUCCAGAUGAUACAAUCUAUCAGGAUUUCCAGAAGGCUUAAGGAAGCUAAGGACCUCCAAAAAAUAAUGAAGGCUCUUGCACAGAUAAAGAAUUUUUCAAAAAUAGAAUAAAAUCACCUAAAGAGUUAGGGAAAUAAACUUUCCUCACAGAUAUGUAUCCUGGGACUUGGGCUGCUUGUUGUAUUUAUAAGAAAGCCAGAAAAGGAGCAGGAGAAUAAAGCUUUCCAAAUUUCAAAUAAAAAAUGAGCUGACCAGUAUUACUUAGGAAAAGGGACCUUGAGGUUAGGACAGCAGAUUAUGGAAACAUAAGCUUGGUGCUCAAUAAUAAUGUCAUGAAAAGAAAAAAAAUCUCUUAUUUGAAAAGGAAUUGAGACUAAAACAAAGAACAUUUCUUUACUACCUAUACAGUGACUGCAUCUUCUAUAUGACUUUUGUCCCAUCCAUCUGAAAGGAUGUAGAGCUCAACAUGUUCCAACGAGGGCAACAAGGAAAAUCCAAGCAUCAUCUACCAUAUAAUAAAUAGCUACAUAAGCUAGAACUUUUGAAUCAAGACACAAAAAUGCUCAAGAGUGAAUAAGGUAGAAAUUGAUAAAAUUCAAAACCAAAAGAAAGGUUUUCACACAGGCAAUGGAGCUGCAAGAGCUUCUGGUUGUGGAAUACCAUAAACACCAAAAGCUCAGACUUGUUCAAGGGGCACCAGAUAAAUUCAAGGAACUGGAAUCUAACAAAAGCUACUAAAUACACAGAAACCAUCUACAGAAAAAGUAUUACCCAGUGUAGUUGCCCUGUUUGUACAGUAUUCCCUGCACAUCUGCUUUCAGCUCCCACUGGGAUGGUGCACUGGGUUAAACAGUCUGACCCCAUCCAGCCAGCCUCACAUUCUCACUGCUCUGUGUGAAAGCACAUGCCUUUAACGAAUAACCAUGGAACUGACAGAGUCACAGAAAACAGAACUGCAAAAAUUCUUGAGAGGUCAUCUAAUCUACUCUCCUGUCUCUGGGUAGAAUCAGUUGUGCAUGAUCUUUUGUGGCAGAUGUCUAACCUGUUUUUCAAAACCUUCAAAAGCAAGCUAUUCUAGUGUGAAGCAGGCCUUCUCUGAAAAAAAAGCUCUUUAUAAUACAACCUGAAUCUUCCUUGCUGCAAAGUUAAUCCCUUUAUUUCUUCAUUGUUACAGACACAGAGAGAGAUGGUCCCUCCCUCCCCUUUUGAAAUGGCCUUUCAUAUCCUUGGACUUCUCUAUCAAAACCUAGAAAGAAAACCCAAGCCCUCUCAAAUUGUUGUCACCUUACCAUUGAAAAAAAAAAAACCAAAAACAACAACAAAAAAAAACCCAGUCAUCGUUCCUUGCAAACUUUACAUAUUCCAGCUUGAGUGCAUCACAGAAAGUAACAAAACAGAUUCUUCUAGUAGGGACAUUAUUAUUAAAAAAACAAAACAAGACAAACCCAAAUAAAACACAAACCCAAAAAUGUGUGAAGUCUGUUUAGUAUAUAAAGAAUGGCCCAUAGCACAUAAUAAAUUGAGUUGAUUUACAAUAGGAACAGAGAACUGCUCUUCCUGCAGGAACCUCCUCCAGUCCCGUUCUCCUCCUUAUCCUUAUGUUACAUAGAUAACGCACAUUCUCAACCACUCUUCAUAGACCACACUCCCUAGACCUCAGAGGAUCCUCUUCUUUUCUUAAGACAGGAAGGAUUUGGUGAGAGCCCAGAGGUGCAAUACCCAAAAUUAGACAUAGCAUUCAAAUUGAGCCUAAGCAAAGCUUUGACAAGUGAAAGGAGCACCGUGUGUGCCUUGCAGACUUCCUGCUUGUGUGACGCGUGUGUUUCAGGGCACUGCAAUCCUGCUGAUUCAUAGCCAGCUCUUAAAUCACCCAGGCUCUGCAAUGCCUUCUACUGCAAUUGUUAUCCACUCGUUUUUACCCCAAUCCGUGAUUUAUGGAGUUUCAAUCAUUUUCAUUUUUUUUCCCUUCACAUAGAACAGUUUCUACUAAAGAAGAGACAACCUUUUUAGAAAUUUUAGCUUUGCACUGAUGCUAAGCACUAUCAAUUUACUUCUUCUGGUCACUUCACAUGAACUGCAAGGAUUUCCCAGGAUCAACAGGUGAGACUUUUAAAAUCACCGGCUGUAGAAAUUUAACUGACAAUUUGUGCUUGUUGGUGCUGAUUUAUUUACAGAUAUAUUAAAAAAAAAAAAAAAAAAAAAAAAAAAAAAAAAGAGAAGCUCAGAAAUACUUUAAGUUGUAAUCUUAUGCUCCAACUGGACUCUUCUUGAGUAUCUGCACAUUUAAUUAGGGUUUUUUUGUCCAUCCAAUAAUCUAUUUUCCACAGUAGAAACUCAGAGCAGACAUUGGGUGUAGUCUGACUAGUUCUGCACACACCAGAGUAGUUCAUCUAGCACUUGAAGUCCUUGCUAGCAUUUAGGAAAAAAACAAGUGAGACUGGUAAACAACCACCAAAGUCAAGUUGUCAUCAAGCAGAUGUCAGACCUUGGGUGAAUCCUGCACCUUCACCUUCUGAGUUUUUUUCCUGUGUUGAGAAUUAAUAGUGAGAAAAGUAACACCCACAGAUUGCCCACUAACAGUUAGAGACAUUGUUGGCAUUACCAACUUACUCAAAUUUGUAUCCUAAUUGCAAUAAAAAUACUGCAGGCUUAAUGUACAGACAAAUGCAAAGUUACUAUAGAAUUAAGAGUGCUAUAGCACCAGAAGACUUGCUGUAACAAGCAGAGAUGCAUGAGCUAAUCCCUCUGAACAAUUUAUUCAGUGACUUCAACCCCUGUUCUGGUAAUGAAUUCAAUGGGACAGUUUUAUUUCUGUGAAUUUAUUGCUUAGAAUUAUUAAUAAAUUAAUUAUAUAACCAUGCUCAGUCUCCAGAUUCCUUGCAAACUAAUAGCCAUCCCACCAAGAUUUUAUGUUCAUAAAUCAGAUUACUUAUUCAGCUAAUCCACAUAUUUUUCAGUCUACAAACCCAGAGCAUUUUCAAGGUGGUUACUACAUUAAAGAUUAUCGAAAUGAGUGUCAUGACAUUUUUAUCUUUCUCAGCUGAGCCUUUUGGAAAUCAAGAACUUGUUCACAUGAAUAGCUGUAGAAAAGAUUCAUCAAACUCUGAAUGCAAAUUAAAUAAGGAAAUUCUUAACCCAUUUUAACUUUUAAAAAUAAAAGAUUAAAUUUAAUAUGAUAAACUAAUUUAAUAAAUCUUUGGAGACAGUACCUAAAUAUACAAAAUAUUGCUUAAUAACUAAUUAUUUGGGAUAUACAGAAUACAGGAUUCCAUUAACUUGCACAAUGGCCAGUUUCUUCCUUUCAUAAUGUAUGCAAACAGAAUCAUGUUUAAAAUCAAAGUCAAAUACUACAUAUAAUUUUUUUUCCCCAGCAUAAAACUCUAUUUUACCAUAGUGAAAUCUGUGUUUAACAAAACCUUUUGGGUUGGAUUUCCUUGCUUCACAGUAUUUUGGUAAAACCUGCCAGGCAUACAAUUUUUGGUCAGUAGUCCACACGUCAAGUAAGACUGAUAAGCAGCUGGUGUGCUAUCAACAUAACUUUACUUAAGUUAGUAGCAAAACUUCAAGUACAACUAACCUGCUAACAGAACAGCACUUUGACUCUUAUUGCUCAUUUCUGAUGUGUCAAGUUUGUCAUAUUUUAAAAUAAAUUUUGAGAAGGAGAGACUACUAGGAAAAUGACAAAAGGCAUUUCUAAAGACCCCGCUUCUCUUUUUGUGUUACUAACAAUACAGAAAUGGCUUCAGAAAGAUUGCAUUGUAUUUUAGAUAUUUGAUGUGUGCAGUAAAAAGGCCUUUAAUAUUACCAAAGUAGUCUCCUUAACCCACAGUUCAAAUACCUAUUUUAAAGGCAUUUGGCAUUAUAUUUAAACAAAGAUAGUGCAGUGCCUGCAGCUGCAAAUUGCAGGGAACAAAUGCAAAUCACAAGAGUUCACACUGCAGUCUCUGAAAAGUCAUGAAAGCCUCCAAGUACUUUUAAAGAAUAAGGUACAAAACACCACCAAGACCCUACAAGCUACCCUGCAGGAAUCCAUUGCUUUUUACCUGACAGAGCAGUGAACAUAAGAACUUCAAUCCUUCCCUUUUCCAGAGACUCUAUGAAAAUUUAAAUGACACCCAGUAGACACAUACAGAACAAAAAUAGGAAAAAACAGUUGUUUUUGUUUUUAAUACAAGUUGAGUCUUUUUGAAGAGUAAAACCUUACAAAUUAUAGCACAAAUUGCACCUGUGCAAUGCUGCUAAAAAUGGCUGAAUUAACAAAAAACUUGUCUGAACGUGUUGGAUACUGUUGCCAGGAAAUUGUAAUAGUACAAAUCACUAUGUAACUAUCCCUAGGAGCUAUUUCUUAACUACCACAGCUUCCUAGCUUCAUUUCAACCUACUGUCCAAUGAAAGGUUAUUCCCACUUUGUAGGUACAAAAAACACCACCUAAAAAAACAGGAAGAGGUUAUUUAAUAAUUUUAAACUCUUCAUUCUAAUUCAGUGAUACACAGAGGAGUUAUCUUUAUUCUCUUGCAUCAUUUUAGGUACCUGAUAAACUUACAACCUGCAAUAUACCCAAUGAGUAAAGCCACUAUGUCAUAUUUAAUCCAGACAUUUUUCUAUAGUACAGAAGUAAGAAUAAUAGGAAUAUUGACAGCUAAAUAGCCAGGAAGGAUGUAAGCUGGGUACUGAGAGAGAUUUAAGUUCAAAGCUUGAAAUAAAAUAAAUACACAGUUAUACAUACUAGCCUUCUCCUUUUGAUGGAGCAGAAGAUUUGCCACGCACUUGGACUGAAAGCAUCCAGCACAUUUCCUCCCAGGCAGCCUGAAUGUGUCAAUCAGAAGGCCUCCCACCACAAGCAGCCACUCCACUGGGCCAGCUCACCGGUAGGAAGAGAGCUGGCACAGCUCUCCACUGGCUGGGAAGCUGCACUUGGGGCUGGGGCAGGGAGCACCUCUGACUCACAUGGCUCCUGGCAACCAAAAAAAAAAAAAAAA